GGAGGUAAGUGGAGGAGGGGUCUCCUCUCUUUGAAUCACUAAAGUGAGAUUCAACUCCUCCAACUUCUCUCC
rnacentral:pre_miRNA from 1 species